rnacentral:rRNA from 1 species
AAUCAACGCUGGCGGCGUGCCUAACACAUGCAAGUCGAACGCGAAAGUUCCUUCGGGAAUGAGUAGAGUGGCGUCCGGGUGAGUAACGCGUGGGUAAUCUACCCUUGGGUGGGGAAUAACCAGUCGAAAGGCUGGCUAAUACCGCAUAAUGCAGCGGCUCGACAUCGAGACAGUUGUUAAAGCAGCAAUGCGCCUAAGGAGGAGCCUGCGUCUGAUUAGCUUGNGGUGAGGUAAUGGCUCACCAAGGCUGCGAUCAGUAGCUGGUCUGAGAGGACGGCCAGCCACAAUGGCACU